AGCUACACAGAGAAACCCUGUCUUGAAAAACCAAAAAAAAAAAAAAAAUCUAUAUAUUUAGACAGCUAUUCUCAGUAGUGAUCCUUAUCACCUUUUUUGAUACAGGGUCUCACUAUGUAGCUCUGGCUAGCCUAGAACUCACUGUAGAGUAGGCUGGCCUUGAACCUGCUGAGAUUUGCCAGCCUUUGCCUCCCAUGUGCCAGGAUUAAAAGCAUGCAUAACUAUGCUCAGCAUGAUUUUCUUCCUGAUAAGUAAAAUAACAUCCAGAGAUAAUACUUCAGACUGUCACUGCAGCAUCUGCCUGUAGUCGGAAAUAACAUGCUUACUAUAGUUUUAACCAAAAGUGGCCGAUAAGAUGGUUGAAUGGUUAAGAGCAUUUGUUGCUCUUGGAAAAGACACAGUUCAAUUCUGAGGACAUAGUGGUUCACAGCCAUCUGUAACUCCAGUUCCAGGGGGUCUGAUGUCCCCUUCUAAUCUCCUUGGGUACCAUACAUGCACAUACAUAUAUGCAGGCAAAACAUACACAAAAGUAAAUGGAAUAGGUAUUGUUUUAACAUAAAAUUAAAUGAUGGCUAUUAUCUCUCCUCCUAUCUAUAAGUUAUAUGGGAGGUACCUCAAAUGAAUCCUAGCCACUCCAACUACUUUUAAAGGACCUAUUGGAGACUAGUUUGGAGGCCAAAGGAUAAGAAGGCCCACAGUGGAUGGAUGCACUCUGAGCACAUCCAGAACUUCUAAUGGACUUGAAUUUGAACAUUUAAAGAAUACUGUUAUUCUAGCCUUGUACUUGGAAUGCUCCUAACUUUUCCCUUCCUUCUUUCUUCACAUCUCCUAGAAAGCAGUUGAGGACUUUUCUUUUCUCCACCUGUUUGUUACUCAAAUGAUUCUAGGAUUACCUCUUGGAGAGUGGGGAGAAUAGGGACCUUGAUGAAACCAGAAGGUCCCUCCUCCCUUCUGUGCCCCAAAGAAACACACAGACGCUAUAUUAGUAUAAGUAUGUUGGCUGGCGACUUGGGCUUCUUAGUCCAGCUACAUCACUUCCUGGGAUUACAUGAUGAUUCCUCUCUGUCUACACUUCCCUGAAUCCUCCUUGUCUCCUAGUCCUACCGGUCUUCCUACCUGGCCAAUCAGUGUUUUAUUCAUCAACCAAUAAGACAAAAAUAUUCACAGAAGAACAUUUCCCCAUCAGUCCAUCCCCAAUAAAACACCACUUAUCAUUUA